UAAGUAAGAUAGAUGAUCGCGGCUGCUUUAUGCAGGUGAGGAAAGUCCGGGCUUCACAGGGCAGGAUGCCAGAUAACGUCUGGUGGAGGUGACUCCAAGGCUAGUGCAACAGAGAUAUACCGCCGGCUUUUGGCCGGUAAGGGUGGAAAGGCAGUGNNCGAAGCAAGACCAAACAGAGAGCUAUAGACCGGCCCGGUCUGCUUUCAGGUAGGUCGCUUGAUGCGGCUGGUGACAGUCGUACUAGAUAGAUGAUCGUCAUAUACAGAACUCGGCUUAUUUUUUGCUUACACC
rnacentral:RNase_P_RNA from 1 species